UACGUAGGUGGCAAGCGUUGUCCGGAAUUACUGGGCGUAAAGCGCACGUAGGCGGCUUUGUAAGUCAGAGGUGAAAGCCCGGAGCUCAACUCCGGAAUUGCCUUUGAGACUGCAUCGCUUGAAUCCAGGAGAGGUGAGUGGAAUUCCGAGUGUAGAGGUGAAAUUCGUAGAUAUUCGGAAGAACACCAGUGGCGAAGGCGGCUCACUGGUCCGGUACUGACGCUGAGGUGCGAAAGCGUGGGGAGCAAACAGG
rnacentral:rRNA from 1 species